rnacentral:rRNA from 1 species
CACGUAGGGCGCGAGCGUUGUCCGGAAUUAUUGGGCGUAAAGAGCUCGUAGGCGGCCUGUUGCGUCCGCUGUGAAAGCCCGGGGCUUAACCCCGGGUCGGCAGUGGAUACGGGCAGGCUAGAGGUAGGUAGGGGAGACUGGAAUUCCUGGUGUAGCGGUGGAAUGCGCAGAUAUCAGGAGGAACACCGGUGGCGAAGGCGGGUCUCUGGGCCGAUAUUGACGCUGGAGGAGCGAAAGCGUGGGGAGCAACAGG